ACUUACAGUAUUUUAUUUAAUAUAUAUAUAAAAAUAAACUUUACAUCCAACCACCACUUUGGCUUUGAAGCCACUGCCUGAUAUUGGCACUUCGUAGAUGUAGUGUGACUAUUCUUAUACGUCUCUAUCUACUGAUGAGGAUCCUACUCUUUUAGUAUAAACAGCACCAUUGACUUUCAAUCAACUAGUUUCGAUAAUAUCUGAAACAGAUUAACCUGACACUAGCCUUAGUAACCAACACCUUACUGACCCUACUAGUAAUAAUAAUUACAUUUUGACUUCCACAACUUAAUAUUUAUAUAGAUAAAUCCAGUCCCUAUGAAGGCAGAUUUGACCCAAUAACCUCCAACCGCCUCCCCUUUUCCAUAAAAUUCUUCCUGGUAGCCAUCAUAUUUCUCCUCUUCGACUUAGAAAUCGCUCUACUACUACCCCUGCCAUGAGCUGUUCAAACAAAUUACCUAAUACUAAUAAUCACCACAGGCCUUAUACUAGUUAUCAUUUUAAUCCUAGGCUUAAUUACAAAUGAACUCAAAAAGGGUUAGAUUGAAUUGGUAAAUAGUUUAAGUCAAAACAAAUGAUUUAGACUCAUUAGAUUAUGAUAAACCAUAUUUGCCAAAUGCCCUCUAUUUACAUCAAUAUUAGCAUAUACCAUAUCACUACUGGGAAUAUUAAUCUAUGAAUCCCACCUAAUAUCAUCCCUAUAUGCCUAGAAGGCAUAAUACUGUCAAUAUUUAUCAUAAUUACCCUUAUAACUUUAAAUAUGCAUUUUACUCUAGCAUCUAUAAUACCCAUUAUCCUCCUAGUAUUUGCUGCCUGUGAAACCGCAGUGGGCCUUGCCUUAUUAGUGUCAGUGUCCAACACAUACGGCCUAGAUUAUGCACAAAAUCUGUAUUUACCUUAAUGCUAAAAAUUAUUCCAACAAUUAUACUGUUACCACUAAUAUGAUUCUCUAAAAAUUAUAAAAUCUGAAUUAACAUGACCAUCCACAGCCUACUCAUCAGCCUCAUCACCCUAUUGUUUGUAACCAAUUCAACAAUUACUCAUCCAACUUCUCACUAGUUUUCUCUUCUGAUCUGCUGAUGUUACCCCUCCUAAUUCUAACAGCUCUUAGAAUCCUAGCAAACCAAUAUUAUCUGUUCAGUGAAUUACCCCCACGAAAAAAGCUCUAUAUUUCUAUAUUGAUUUCCCUGCAGAUUUUUUUAAAUUAUAGCAUUCGCAGCCACAGAACUAAUUAUAUUUUAUAUUUUCUUCGAAGCCACACUAAUUGCUACCCUAAUUAUUAUUACCUGCUGAGGGAACCAACCAGAACGCCUCAAUGCAAGCUCAUAUUUCCUAUUUUACACACUGGUAGGGUCCCUUCCUCUACUUGUUACACUUGUCUACCACUUUAAAUACUUCAGGUUCACUAAAUAUGCUAGUAAUGAUAUUUACUGACCAAGAACUAUUGACCUCCUGAUCCAAUAAUCUUAUAUGACUAGCAUGUAUUAUGGCCUUUAUAGUCAAAGUAACUCUAUACGGACUUCACCUGUGACUUCCUAAAGCCCAUGUAGAAGCCCCUAUUGCCGGCUCAAUAGUACUUGCAGCAGUACUCCUAAAACUAGGCGGUUGCGGUAUAACACGGCUUACCCUUAUCCUCAGCCCCCUAACAGAAUAUAUAGCCUACCCCUUCCUCAUACUGUCCCUAUGAGGGAUAGUUAUGACAAGCUCCAUUUGUCUACAACAAACCGAUCUAAAAUCACUUAUUGCCUACUCCUCCAUAAGCCAUAUACCACUUGUCAUCAUAGUCUCCUCAUCCAAACCCCUUGAAGUUUUACAGGUGCAGUCACCCUUAUGAUUACCCAUGGAGUCACUUCAUCCCUGUUAUUCUGCCUAGCAAAUUCCAACUAUGAGCCAGUCCACAGUGGAAUCAUCUUACUUACCCGAGGCCUUCAAAUACUACUUCCACUGAUAGCCUCAUGAUGACUUCUGGCAAAUCUCACUAACCUUGCCUUACCACUACCAUUAAAUCUAGCAGAGGAAGUCUGUGAUCAUGGCUUCAUUCUCCUGAUCAAAUAUCACUAUUAUGCUUACAGGACUUAAUAUGCUAAUUACAGCCCUCUACUCCCUAUGUAUACCAAUCACGACACAACAAGGGACACUUACAUAUUACAUUAACAGUAUUAAACCUUCCUUUACAUGAGAAAAUACAUUAAUAUUUAUACAUGUUACACCUAUUCUUCUAUUAUCCUAAAUCCUCAAAUUAUUAUGGGCUUUACAUGCUGUAGCUAUAGUUUAACCAAACCAUUAAAUUGUGGAUCUAAUAAUAGAAGCCUGCAACUUCUUAUCUACUGAGAAAGUAUGCAAGAACUGCUAACUCAUGCUCCCAUGCCUAACAACAUGGCUUUCUUAACUUUUAAAGGAUUGGAGUCAUCCAUUGGUCUUAGGAACCAAAAACAUUGGUGCAAUUCCAAAUAAAAGUAACAAAUAUGUAUUUUUCCAUUACUAUAAUUGCCCUAAUCCCCUUAAACACACCAAUUAUUAUUACCUUAGUCAGCCCCUGCAAAGAUUCAUACCCAAAUUACGUAAAAAUAGCCAUCACAUGCGCCUUCACUAUUAGCCUCAUCCCAACAACGUUUAUAUAUACAGACGAAGAAGUCAUUAUCUCAGACUGACAUUGAAUGACAAUCCAAAGUCUCACUAAGCUUUAGACUACUUCUCCAUAAUAUUUAUCCCAGUAGCACUAUUUGUUACCUGAUCUAUUGUAGAAUUCUCAAUAUGAUAUAUAAACUCAGACCCUAACAUUAAUCAGUUUUUUAGAUAUUUUCCUCAUUACAAUAUUCUGGUUACCGCCAACAACUUCUUUCAACUCUUUUAUUGGAUGAGAAGGUGUAGGAAUCAUGUCUUUCUUAUUAACUGGCUGAUUAUACGGCGGAGCAGAUGCUAAUACAGCAGCUCUCCAAGCAGUCCUGCACAAUCGCAUGGGUGAUACUGGCUUUAUUUAGCUAUAGUAUGAUUCCUCUUUUCCUCCCACACAUGAGAGAUUCAACAAGCAUUCAUUCUAAACCCUACCUCUAAUCUGCCCUUCCAUUAAUUCGCCUUCUUUUAGCAGAAGCAGGAAAGUCAGCUAAAUUCGGCCUCCAUCCCUGACUUCCAUCCGCCAUAGAAGGCCCAGCCCCAGUCUCAGCCCUGCUCCACUCCAGCACUAUAGUUGUAGCAGGAAUUUUCCUACUCAUCCGCUUCUACCCUUUAAUAGAAAAUAACCUCUGAACCCAAACCUUUACAUUAUCUCUAGGGGCUAUUACCACCUUAUUUACAGCAAUCUGUGCUCUAACACAAAGUGAUAUUUAAAAAACCAUAGCAUUCUCCACCUCAAGUCAGCUGGGCCUUAUGAUAGUCACAACUGGCAUUAAUCAGCCACACCUAGCAUUCCUUCACAUCUGCACCCAUGCCUUUUUUAAAGCUAUAUUAUUUAUAUGCUCAGGCUCCAUCAUCCACAAUCUCAAUGAUGAACAAGAUAUUAAAAAAAUAGGACUAUUCAAGACUUUACCCUUCACUUCCUCUUCCGUUAUUAUUGAUAGCCUUGCACUUACAGGUAUGCCUUUCCUCACAGGCUUUCAAAGACCUUAUUAUCGAAACUGCAAAUACUGUCAUAUACCAACCAACGCCUGAGCCCCUUCUAUUACUCUUACUGCCACCUCCUUAACAGCUGACUAUAGUACCCAUGUUAUUUUUUUUGCUCCGAGGACUGGCCACGCGGGGGUGGGAAGGGCCUGGGCCACGCCCGGGCCGCCGCCGCCACCCACGCGCGACGCUUGGGGGCCCUGCUGCAAAGCCCCUUUUUCUGGGGGCAGGGGGAGACGCUUCAUACCGCCCUGCCCAGCAGGGUUUCCAGGUCUGAGGUGCCCGCCCUGGCCCCAAGAGAAUGAACCAGCCGCAGAGGAUGGCGUCCGUGGACACGGACAAGAAGCUCAGUAACCUCCUGGACUUCAGCAUGAUGUUCCCGCUGCCCGUCGCCAACGGGAAGGGCCGGCCCGCCUCCCUGGCCGGGUCGCAAUUCAGAGGUUCAGGUCUUGAGGACCGGCCCAGCUCAGGCUCCUGGGGCAGUGGCGACCAGAACAGCUCCUCCUUUGACCCCAGCUGGACCUUCAGCGAAGGCGCUCACCUUGCUGAGUCGCAUAGCAGCCUCUCUUCAUCCACAUUCCUGAGACUGUGACUCUCUUGCCGGACGGCUAAGCCUCCUUUGGGAGAGACGCAGGCGUGGGCGGCCUGACUCAGGCUGGCUUCCUGCCGGGCGAGCUGGCCCUCAGCAGCCCCGGACCCCUGUUCCCUUCGGGCAUGAAGGCGACCUCCCAGUACUACCCCUCCUACGCCGGCAGCUCCGGCGGAGAGAGGCGGACGGCGGCCUGGACACGCAGUCCACAAAGGUCCAGAAGGUCCUGCCUGUCUUCCAUCCUCGGCGUACCUGCCCAGCUCAGGUGAGGACUACGGUAGGGAUGCCGCCGCCUACCUGUCCGCCAAGACCCCCAGCAGGGCCUAUCCCGCCCCCUUCUACAUGGCAGAUGGCAGGCAGCAUACACCCCUCAGCCCCUCAGCCGAGGUCUGGAGUUGCCCGGGUCAGGCGGGCUUUGGCCCCAUGCUGGGUGGGGGCUCAUCCCCGCCGCCUCUCCCGCCCAGCAGCUGCCCUGUGGGCAGUGGCAGAGGCAGCAGCACAUUUGGUGGCCUGCACCAGCACGAGCGCAUGGGCUACCAGCUGCACAGAGCAGAGGUGAACGGCGGUCUCCCAGCUGCAUCCACCUUCUCCUUGGCCCCCUGGAGCUGGAGCGUCUCCAGCCACAGGCCACCUGUCAGCGGGGCCAACAUAUUCCUGGGCUCGCGAGGGACCACAGCUGGCAGCUCCGGGGACGCCCUCAGGCAGGCAUGUCCUCAAUCUACUCCCCGGAUCACUCAAGCAAUAGCUUCUCGUCCAGCUCCUCCACUGCUGUGGGCUACCCCCAGGGUCUGGGAGGGAUGUCGCACUGACCCGGAACAGGAGUCCCCGGUGCCUUAUCACCCAGCUACGACCGGGAUUUCCAUGGCGUGCAGAGUAAGACAGAAGACCACCUGAACAAGGCCAUCCACGUGCUCUGCAGCCACACCGUGGGCACGGCCGGCAAUGGGCCCACGCUGCUGCCCGGCCACAGGGCGCUGGCUUAGGCUUCGCCGGCCCUAUGCUGCUAGUGGGGGCAGCACGCAGGCCUGGUCAGAGGCUGACACCCUGAGGACGGCCCUGUGGGCAGCGCCAGCCUCAUGCACAUCCACAUGGCCCUCUCCAGCUAGCCAGGCGCCCUCCCCGACCUCUCUUGGCCUCCCGACUCCUACAGUGGGCUAGGGCAAGCAGGCCAUUGGCGAAAUCAAGCCAGAGGAGGAGGAUGAGGAGAAUACAUCGGCGGCUGACCACUCGAGGAGAAGGAGCUGAAGGACCCCCAGGUCCGGACCAGCCCAGACGAGGACGAGGACAAAGAUGACCUUCUCCCCCGAGAGCAGAAGGCCGAGCACGAGAAGGAGCGCCAGGUGGCCAAUAACGCCAGGGAGCAACUGCGGGUCCCUUGAGAGGCCUCUUAAGGAGCUGGGGGCACAUGUAGCAACUGGACUCAACAGCGAGAAGCCCCAGACCAAACUGCUUAUCCUGCACGAGGCCCUCUCGGUCAUGCUGAACUUGGAGCAGCAAGUGCGAGAGCAGAACGUGAAUCCAAAACAGCCUGUUUGAAAUGGUGAGGUGUCGGGCGUGUUCGGAGACCCCCAGAUGGUGCUUUCAGCUGCGCACCUGGGCCUGAGCAAAGCCCACAACCCCACCGGGCACAUGUGAAAGGUACGCCUCUGUGGGACAAGCCACUGGCCCUCAGCCCGGUGGGCUGGGCCCAGAACGCCUACUGGAGGCCCUGGGCUUCAUCCACAUCCCCACCUCACACAACUGUUCUCAGCAUUGAGCCAACAUCGACCUGAUUAGGCUCAGAGUGAUGGGGUCAAGGAAGGUGACUCUGGGUCCAGGAGCUCCCUGGGACCCUGGCUCACCUCCCACUGGCCUUGCUCCCCUUGCCCCCAAAUCUCAGUCACCAUGUCACCCUGUGACCUGCCCCAUGGAUCCUGAAACUGCGUCUUAGCCCUGUUGUCUGGGCUGACAGGAGCUUUUUUUUUUUUUCAGUAAACAAAAUCUGAAAGCAAGUAACAGAACAUACAGUUUGUCAGAAAAGAAAAAAAAUGCCUUAACUAUAAAAUGUGGAGACAUCAUAACAUAUCACUUGAGGGAGAUGCUGUGAAAACUUGGCUUAUUCUUCAAAAGCCAGCAGCAAAUUGUGCCUAGGCAUAAUUUAAGGAAAAUGAAAAGAACAUUAGUUAUCAAGAAAAAAAAAAAAAAAGCUGGACUGACCUGGGCCAGGCUGGACCAGAUUGGCCUAGAGGACUUCAGAGGGCUACUCCCCUGGUAGGCCAGUCUCAGCUGACCUUCACUGUCCUGCCUCCAGACAGGGCCCAUCUGUCUUCCCCUUGUUCCCCUCCUGCAAAGACAUUGCCUCCGAUGCCACCUCCAUGACCCUGGGCUGCCUGGCCACAGGCUAGUUCCUGAAGCCGGUGACUGUGACCUGGGACACAGGCUACCUCAACAGGAGUGCUGUGACCUUCCCAGCCACCACCCUCACACCCUCUGGCCACUAGGCCACCACCAGCCAUCUGACCACCUCAGGUGCAUGGACCAAGCAAAUGUUCACCUGUAGCGUGGUACACACUCUGUGGUCUGCAGACCAGGUCAGUACCUUCAGCGUCUACUCUAGGGACUUCGCCCUGCCCACCAUGAAGAUCUUACAGUCCUGUGAUGGCAGUGGACACUUCCCCCCGACCAUCCAGUUCCUGUGCCUCAUUUCCGGGUACACCCCAGGUGCCAUCACCUGGCUGGAGGAUGGGCAGGUCGUGGAUGUGAACUGCUCUAUUGCCUCUCCCAUGCUGGAGGGCGAGCUGGCCUCCACACAAAGCAAGCUCACCCUCACCCAGAAGCUUUGGCUGCCCGACCACACCUACACCUGCCAGGUCACCUAUCAAGGUAAUGCCUUUGAGGACAGUGCCAAGAAGCAUGCAGAUUCCAACCCGCAAGGGGUGAGUGCCUACCUGAGCUAGCCCAGCCCCUUCUACCUGUUCAUCCGCAAGUUGCCCACAAUCACCUGUCUGGUGGUGGACCUGGCACCUAGCAAGGGGACCGUGAAGCUGACCUGGUCCCGGGCCAGUGGGAAGUCCGUGGCCCAGGUCCUCCUAAGGCAAGAGAAGCAGUGCAGUGGCACGUUCAUCAUCACGUCCACUCUGCUGGUGGGCACCAGAGACUGGAUCGAGGGGGAGACCUACCAGUGCAGGGUGACCCACCUCCACCUGCCCAGGGCCCUUGUGCAGUCCAUGACCAAGAUCAGCGACCGCUGUGCUCCCCCAGAGGUCUACGGGUUUGCAAUGCUAGAAGAGCCGAGGAACCCAGACAAGCGCACCCUCACCUGCCUGAUCCAGAACUUCUAGCCCAAGGACAUCUUGGUGCAGUUGCUGCACAACAAGGUGCAGCUCCCAGACGCCUGGCACAGCAUGACGCAGCCCUGCAAAACCAAGGGCUCUGGCUUCUUAGUCUUCAGCUGCCUGGAGGUGACCAGGGCCGAAUGGGAACAGAAAAAUGAGUUCAUCUGCCCUGUGGUCCAUGAGAUGGUGACUGGCUCACAGACCGUCAAGAAGCUGGUGUCUGUAAAUCCCAUUAAAUGUCCUCCUGCCUUCCUCCCCACUAGGGCUUUGUCCAGCUGUGUGGUAGGAAGAGCUGGCCACUGUUGGUAGGAAGAGCUGACCUUCUGUCCACUGUUGCAACGACCCCAGGAGGCCACCCCCAAUAAACAGUGCCUGCUCAGAAACAAACAAACAAACAAACA